ACGGAGGGUGCAAGCGUUAAUCGGAAUUACUGGGCGUAAAGCGCACGUAGGCUGUAGUGUAAGUCAGGGGUGAAAUCCCACGGCUCAACCGUGGAACUGCCUUUGAUACUGCACAACUUGAAUCCGGGAGAGGGUGGCGGAAUUCCAGGUGGACGACUGCCAGCAGUAGAUAUGUGGAGGAACAUCAGUGGCGAAGGCGGCCACCAGGACCAGUAUUGAGGCUGAGCUAAGAAAGCGUGGGGAGCAAACAG
rnacentral:rRNA from 1 species